GAAGAAAAGGACUGGAAGGUACAGAUGAAGUGAGAGUUCUCCAGAGCUUGGUUUUCUGUCACCUUUGUAGUGAAGGAUGCUUUCUGCCACAUGUCCUCUUGGCGAAAUCAGACUCAGUGUUCCAGAUGUAGCUAAAGCAGCCCCACCAUGGCAUUCCCACAAGUCAUGGUUCAUCAACACCAGCCCACCUUCCCUGGAGGGGAAAUGGAGACAGACACAGAGAGGAGAACACCGAGUAAAGACACAGAUACACAGAGGGAAGGCGGCCCUGUCACCGUGGAGGUUGCUACAGGGCAAAGAACA